rnacentral:lncRNA from 1 species
CAAAUACAUUCAGGGUAUGAAAAUGGAAAAAUUCUUGACUUUAAAACACUUUUAUUUGAUAGAAAGUGGAUUGUAUUUUGAGAAAUAUUUUAAUGGCUUGUAAAUACUGCAAGUGCAGAUAGAUAUGUACUUAAAAUCGUAACAAAGUGACUAGAAGAAAACAAUUAAAAAAUUAAACCUCAAGUACCAGAUCCUUAUUGACC